GACGAACGCUGGCGGCGUGCCUAAUACAUGCAAGUCGAGCGAGCGGCGGACGGGUGAGUAACACGUAAGGAACCUACCGAUAAGCGGGGGACAACAUCCGGAAACGGGUGCUAAUACCGCAUACUUAUCGCUGGCCUUACGGUGCAUUAGCUCGGUGGUUGGGUAACGGCCUACCAAGGCAAUGAUGCAUAGCCGACCUUAGAGGGUACUCGGCCACAUCGCGACUGAGACACGGCCCACACUCCUACGGGAGGCAGCAGUAGGGAAUCUUCCGCAAUGGGCGCAAGCCUGACGGAGCAACGCCGCGUGAGUGAAGACGGUUUUCGGAUCGUAAAGCUCUGUUGUAAGAGAAGCGGUAUCUUCCCAGAAAGCCCCGGCUAACUACGUGCCAGCAGCCGCGGUAAUAC
rnacentral:rRNA from 1 species